CACAAUCCUUAUCCUUGGUUCUCCUUCCUCCACAUGAAGAAUUCUUUGAACUGCUUGAGUAGGGCAGGCCAUAUCCUCCUUCUCUGAUGUCAGUGAAAAACAUCACCCAAAGCUUCAUCCCCUCUCUGAUUGGCUUCCUUAUGACCUGGAAAACUGUUGCUUCAGACAUCUUCCAUUUCGCCUCACUUAGACUGGAAAAUAAGACAACAAACACUUGCCCAUCAAAGGAAGAAAGAGGAAGAUGCACACGAAUUAUCCACAGGGGUUCCUGCAAGAGUCACCUGAAAGCAUCCACAAGCCCAGUUGUUUGCCCACUUAGGUGGAUUCAUCAGCCUGAUUCCUUGUUCUCCACCCAGCCCUGAUGGGACCUCCAGGACCAGGGAAUGAACAGGAAAGGAAGAGAGUGUUGCUGCUGCUGUGCAUGUCCAAACUCAUCACCAAGAGUCAUAAGACAUUCUAGACCUGGCCUAGACCCAGGUCUGAAGAAAUAUUCUCUCACAUACUUCCCUUAAAACUAGAAAUAUGGGGCCACUUUCUCCUCCAGUCCUGACUCUACUACUAAGACAGAGCUGAGUUCUGCACCUGAAAGGGUGUUCAUCAUGUUCCUUUUGAAAUUUGUGCCUAAAUAAAUCAGCUUCCUACAUA